GUGGCUAUGGCUCAGUGGUGGAGCAUGUGCUUAGCAUGCAUCAAGGUCCUGGGUUCAAUCCCCAGUACCUCCU
rnacentral:tRNA from 1 species